rnacentral:rRNA from 1 species
AUACUGACACUGAGGAGCGAAAGUCUGGGGAGCGAACAGGGUUAGAUAGCGUGGUAGUCCAGACCGUAAACGGUGGGCACUAGUUGUGGGAACCUUCCACGGUUUCUGCGACGCAGCUAACGCAUUAAGUGCCCCGCCUGGGGAGUACGAUCGCAAGAUUAAAACUCAAAGGAAUUGACGGGGCCCCGCACAAGCAGCGGAGCAUGCGGCUUAAUUCGACGCAACGCGAAGAACCUUACCAAGGCUUGACAUAUAGGGAAAAGUGGCAGAGAUGCCAUGUCCGCAAGGGCCCUAUACAGGUGGUGCAUGGUUGUCGUCAGCUCGUGUCGUGAGAUGUUGGGUUAAGUCCCGCAACGAGCGCAACCCUCGUUCUGCGUUGCCAGCAUUUAGUUGGGGACUCACAGGAGACUGCCGGGGUUAACUCGGAGGAAGGUGGGGAUGACGUCAAAUCAUCAUGCCCCUUAUGUCUUGGGCUGCACGCAUGCUACAAUGGCCGGUACAGAGGGCUGCAAUACCGUAAGGUGGAGCGAAUCCCAAAAAGCCGGUCUCAGUUCGGAUUGAGGUCUGCAACUCGACCUCAUGAAGUUGGAGUUGCUAGUAAUCGUAGAUCAGCAACGCUACGGUGAAUACGUUCCCGGGGCUUGUGCACACCGCCCGUCACGUCACGAAAGUCGGUAACAACCCAAAGUCAGUGGCCCAACC